rnacentral:rRNA from 1 species
AUUGAACGCUGGCGGAAUGCUUUACACAUGCAAGUCGAACGGCAGCACGGGGCAACCUGGUGGCGAGUGGCGAACGGGUGAGUAAUACAUCGGAACGUGCCCGAGAGUGGGGGAUAACGCAGCGAAAGCUGUGCUAAUACCGCAUACGAUCUCAGGAUGAAAGCAGGGGACCGCAAGGCCUUGCGCUCACGGAGCGGCCGAUGGCAGAUUAGGUAGUUGGUGGGAUAAAAGCUUACCAAGCCGACGAUCUGUAGCUGGUCUGAGAGGACGACCAGCCACACUGGGACUGAGACACGGCCCAGACUCCUACGGGAGGCAGCAGUGGGGAAUUUUGGACAAUGGGCGAAAGCCUGAUCCAGCGACGCCGCGUGGAGGACGAAGCCCUUCGGGGUGUAAACUCCUUUUCUCAGGGAAAAAGGAUGAUGGUACCUGAGGAAUAAGCCCCGGCUAACUACGUG